ensembl:lncRNA
GUAAGUAUGUAUUUGAAUAACUUGGCGUGUCCUGAGUGUUGUGGUAUGAGAAGCAUCGUGGUCUUUCUACACCAAUGAAGUGCAAACAAAAUUUUGUAUUUAUGAAUGACAAAAAAAAAAAAAAAAAGAAUGUCCUACCUUCAAAAUUGAAGACAGGAAAUGUGUUUUGCUGGGGAAGAGGUUUUGUAUUGGUUUCAAAGCAGAAAACAAACUGUGGGUUCCACUGAAAUUUAUAAUAACCAAAUUGGAUGAGGGAAGACCCCUGAAGGUCUUGGCUGCAGACAGGAAGAAAGAAAUCAAGAGGACCAGCCACAGGUAACGUAUUACUGAUCCCUCUAAAAGGGAACAUCUCUAAGACUGCCUGCCACUUGAAUAUAUCUCCAGCCAGAACGUCAGCGAUUCAUAGCCAAUCUUGUUGGCUACUAAAUCCCCAGGACUCAUUAUGCCAUCCUUUCUCUUGGCUUGGAUGAAAUUUAUCACCGUUUGGUUAUUGUGGUGUUUGUCUAGGUUUGGCCCCCAUUGACCCGUGUGUUUGAAUGCUUGGUUCAAGGAGUGUGGCCCUAUUGGGGUAGGUCUGUUGGAGGAUGUGUGUCACCGUUGGGGUGAGCUUUGAGGUUUCCUAUGCCCAGUGUACAUGGCGCCCACUCCUGGUUACCCGGAAAAGCCAGGUCCACUUUCUGCCUGGGGAUAAAGAAGUAGAACUCUCAACUAUUUCUCCAGCAUCACAUGUGCCUGAAGGCUGCCAUGCUUCCUGCUGUGACCAAGGACUGAGCCUCUGAAACUGUAAGCCAGCCCCAAUUAAAUGCUUUCUUUUACAAGAGUGGACUACAUUGUAGUGUCUCUUCACAGCAAUAACACCCAACCUAGGACAGUAAUACAGUCCAAACUAACAGAAGACAGGAGCCUUUCACCUGGUCAUACAAAGAACCGAGAGUCAUGUUUGCAGAACAAAACGUCCAGUUACCAGUGAGUUGGAGCAGCCCUGACAGGAUGCUGAGACACUGAGACACAGUUAUUCCAGCAUCCCACUUGAUCCAACCUUAGACGGCCUUCACAGCUGUUUCAUCUAAACUUGCUUCCAGAGGAUUCCAGCAUCCUCAAAGAAAGCUGCUGACCCCAGAUAACCCCAACUGAUCCAGCCUCACAGACUGUUUCGGUCAGGAUGUCAUUUAAGCCUGCUCUUUUGUGACACAGAGACUGGGCAGCAAUUGUUACAUGGAGCUUUCUUAAGACUGGAUGGUAUCCCAAUUUUCUCGUCCCGCCACCAAUGGAAAAAAUCAAGAUGCCCUAGACAGCAAGAAGCCAUUUUACUGACUCUCCAACUCCCAAAACAUGGGGUGGGUGGUUUUGUUCAUUUGUUGGUGAUGAUCAUUGCUAAAGGAAUGUUGGUUACAAGUUGUUAAUGGCCUUGAUUAGACUCCAGGAUUUCUCUCUCCCUUUUUCUUUCCUCUGUCCUUCUUGUCAGAGGUUAAGGGAGGGAAGGUUUGAAAAGGGCUGGCAGAAUAUAGGAAUAAUAUGGAAACAAUAGAG